CUACGGGCCGCAGCAGUGGGGAAUAUUGCACAAUGGGCGCAAGCCUGAUGCAGCCAUGCCGCGUGUAUGAAGAAGGCCUUCGGGUUGUAAAGUACUUUCAGCGGGGAGGAAGGGAGUAAAGUUAAUACCUUUGCUCAUUGACGUUACCCGCAGAAGAAGCACCGGCUAAGUCCGUGCCAGCAGCCGCGGUAAUACGGAGGGUGCAAGCGUUAAUCGGAAUUACUGGGCGUAAAGCGCACGCAGGCGGUUUGUUAAGUCAGAUGUGAAAUCCCCGGGCUCAACCUGGGAACUGCAUCUGAUACUGGCAAGCUUGAGUCUCGUAGAGGGGGGUAGAAUUCCAGGUGUAGCGGUGAAAUGCGGAGAGAUCUGGAGGAAUACCGGUGGCGAAGGCGGCCCCCUGGACGAAGACUGACGCUCAGGUGCGAAAGCGUGGGGAGCAAACAGGAUUAGAUACCCCAGUAGUC
rnacentral:rRNA from 1 species